CAGCCUGACAGGAUGAUCAUUUAAAUUUCAUGUCUCUUCUCUGACAUUGUUCUUUGGAGAUAUUCAUGCCUUAUUGAUCUGAUCAGGUUG
ensembl:snoRNA